UAACACGAACCGUCCAAACGUUAUUCGGAAUUAUUGGGCUUAAAGGGUGCGUAGGCGGCGCUUUAAGUCGGGUGUGAAAUCCUUCGGCUCAACCGAAGAAUUGCGCCCGAUACUGGAGUGCUAGAGGGAGACAGGGGUGAGCGGAACUGAUGGUGGAGCGGUGAAAUGCGUUGAUAUCAUCAGGAACACCGGUGGCGAAAGCGGCUCACUGGGUCUCUUCUGACGCUGAGGCACGAAAGCCAGGGUAGCGAACGGGAUUAGAUACCCCGGUAGUCCUGGCCGUAAACGAUGAGCACUGGAUCGAGGACUCCCCCAUAGGUUCUCGGUCGUAGCGAAAGUGUUAAGUGCUCCGCCUGGGGAGUAUGGUCGCAAGGCUG
rnacentral:rRNA from 1 species